AAAAUUAUCCAACCAAGUAAUUUCUGGCGUUGGUUUGCCACUUGCUCUGCACGGCAGCACCACGGUUGCUCCUAUAUUAGCUACCAAUGUGGGAUGUGGACCAAAUCUACUCAAGGCCAAGCUUGAAAAAUAAUUUGAAGAUUUGGGAAUUUUUUAGAAAUUUGGACUCUGAAGAUUUAGAAGUUUGAAGAAUAAGCUUGAAGAAAAUUUAGAGAAGAUUCAUUUCAAUUUAGAGAAGACCAUUUCAUCUGGGUUGCUUGAAGAAUUUAGAGAUUGCAAAGAAAUUAGUUCAAUUCAAUUAAUUAACUCAUAACAUUUUAGGAUGUGGACCAAAUCUAUUCAAGGCCAAACUUGAAAAAUGAUUUGAAGAUUUGGGAAUUGUUCAGAAAUUUGGACUCUGAAGAUUUAGAAGUUUGAAGAAUAAGCUUGAAGAAAAUUUAGAGAAGAUUCAUUUCAAUUUAGAGAAGACCAUUUCAUCUGGGUUGCUUGAAGAAUUUAGAGAUUGCAAAGAAAUUAGUUCAAUUCAAUUAAUUAACUUAUAACAUUUUAGGAUGUGGACCAAAUCUACUCAAGGCCAAACUUGAAAAAUGAUUUGAAGAUUUGGGAAUUGUUCAGAAAUUUGGACUCUGAAGAUUUAGAAGUUUGAAGAAUAAGCUUGAAGAAAAUUUAGAGAAGAUUCAUUUCAAUUUAGAGAAGACCAUUUCAUCUGGGUUGCUUGAAGAAUUUAGAGAUUGCAAAGAAAUUAGUUCAAUUCAAUUAAUAAAAUUGCAUAAGUAAAGAGUGGUUAUCGGUACGAGCUCCGUAGGAGUGGAUAUCUUCACCUCUCUUGCUGAAACCGACGCACAGUAGAUCAAUCCAGCGUCAUCCGGAGUAACACACUCUAUCACGA